UACGGAGGAUCCAAGCGUUAUCCGGAAUCAUUGGGUUUAAAGGGUCCGUAGGCGGGUCAUUAAGUCAGGGGUGAAAGUCUGCAGCUCAACUGUAGAAUUGCCCUUGAUACUGGUGGUCUUGAGUUAUAGUGAAGUAACUAGAAUAUGUAGUGUAGCGGUGAAAUGCAUAGAUAUUACAUAGAAUACCGAUUGCGAAGGCAGAUCACUAAUAAUUUAUUGACGCUGAUGGACGAAAGCGUGGGUAGCGAACAGG
rnacentral:rRNA from 1 species